GAUGAACGCUGGCGGCGUGCCUAACACAUGCAAGUCGAGCGAACGGGCUACAAUCUGGCUUCACUGAUGUUACCGGCGGGCGGGUGAGUCAUGCGUGGAUAACCUACCUAUAAGACUGAGAUAACGGCGGGAAGCCGGAUCUCAGACCGGAUGAUAUUUUGAACCGGAUGGGUCAAGAGUGAAAGACGGUCUUGCUGUCACUUAUAGGUGUAUCCGCGCUGCGUUAGCUAGUUGGCAAGGUAACGGCUUGCCAAGGCAACGAUGGAUAGCUGACCUGAGAGGGUGAUGCGCCCCAGUGAGAGUGAGACACGGCACAGACUCCUACGGGAGGCAGCAGUGGGGAAUCGUGGGCGAUGGGGGCAAGCUUGCUGGAGCGGCGCCGCGUGAGUGCUGAAGGUCCUCGGCUGGGAAACCUCUCUUCUUGGGGAAGAACGCGUGUGUACGUAACCGUGCUCUGCUUGACGGUAGCGGGUCAGAAAGCACCGGCUAACUACGUG
rnacentral:rRNA from 1 species